CGGCGAGUGAAGCGGGAAGAGCUCAAGCUUAAAAUCUCCGUGCAAGUUUUGUGCGGCGAAUUGUAGUCUAUAGAGGCGUGGUCAGCGUGGGCGCUUGGGGCAAGUUCCUUGGAAGAGGACAGCAUGGAGGGUGAUACUCCCGUUCAUCCCUGAGUGGCUCGUGCGUACGACCCGUUUUCUUUGAGUCGCGUUGUUUGGGAAUGCAGCGCAAAGUAGGUGGUAAAUUCCAUCUAAAGCUAAAUAUUGGUGCGAGACCGAUAGCGAACAAGUACCGUGAGGGAAAGAUGAAAAGAACUUUGAAAAGAGAGUUAAAGAGUACCUGAAACUGCUGAAAGGGAACCGAAUCGUUUCCAGUGUCUAUAAUCUGUGGCAUAUUUCAUUGGCGAGCGUUUGCGUGCGUGUGCUGUGGCAGUGGCUUUUUUGGCUGCGCCUGGUGUGUGUGGUGUGAGUGUUUGCUGGUGCCCUGUGCUGCGGUGGGACGUCAAGGUCAGUUCGUAUGCUGCGGGAAAUGGCUGCCGAGGAGGUAGGGCUUACGCUCCGCGUUUGUCUGUUAUAUCUUGGUGGACGAGUCGUCGCGGUUGGGACUGAGGUGCCUACAACGUGCUUUUGAGUGGGUUUGUGUCUCCGUGUGCGCCGUGUGCGGAUAGCUUGCU
rnacentral:rRNA from 1 species